UCAUAGAGUAUUCUCCCUCAAACGGUUUGAAGGUUAGAGAUCCUUUGUUGCGCAUUCACUUGUCUCCAUAGCUAAGUGGCUUGACCCCAACGAUGUCGUGGACACCCUCCUGAUGGAGUGACUUUGACAUAAUCAAAGAUCAAGGACUUAACCACAAGACAACUAUGAUGCCUCAGGUCAAAGGACUACUUUGCAUUAUCCUAACCAUGAGUUCUCAUGUGACAUGGAAUAUGAGAACUCUUCGUUGAUCGCGUUCAGUGAACUCAUUCUCUAUUGAGCACCUACCGUACUUGUCUUGAUGUCACACACACCAAUGAUUCGAGACUGAUCACUCUCCCUGAGAGAAGACAUAGUACGUAUUGAUCUUAACGGACUAUCAAUGCCCAAUUGGCAAUAAUAUGAUCAGGAACAUUUAGGAUGUGUCUACGAAAGAAUGGUCUCAUGAAUCUAACUUUAUUAGAUUACAUUCUCCCAAUCACAUAUUCCUUGGACUUUAUUGUUUAAGCAUAUAACAUUUAUAUGAGACGGCUCAAACAAUAAUCUUUGCCCUUUAUAUGUAAAACUAGAUUAGUUUAACAUGUGAAAUGUCCGUAAAGUAUCAUCACAUGAUUGGCUUUAGGGCACAUUUCCAACAGUG
rnacentral:lncRNA from 1 species